rnacentral:rRNA from 1 species
AUUGAACGCUGGCGGCAGGCCUAACACAUGCAAGUCGAGCGGAGCGGCGGACGGGUGCGUAAUGCCUAGGAAUCUGCCUGGUAGUGGUGGAUAACGUCCGGAACCGGGCGCUAAUGCCGCAUACUAUCAGUUUCGCCUGGGUCGGAUGAGCUAUGUGGUGGGGUAAAGGCCAACCAAGGCGACGAUCCGUAACUGUGCUGAGAGGAUGAUCAGUCACACUGGAACUGAGACACGGUCCAGACUCCUACGGGAGGCAGCAGUGGGGAAUAUUGUACAAUGGGCGAAAGCCUGAUCCAGCCAUGCCGCGUGUGUGAAGAAGGUCUUCGGAUUGUAAAGCACUUUAAGUUGGGAGGCGUUACCAACAGAAGAAGCACCGGCUAACUUCGUGCCAGCAGCCGCGGUAAUUC